rnacentral:pre_miRNA from 1 species
CAGAGUGUCUUCGCCAAAAUGCCAUCCCGAACAGAAAUGCCACUUCCUCUUCUUCCUCCAUCCUGCGCGUGAAGAGCUCGCCUGCGGCCAUGGCUAGCUCCCUCCCUGCCAUCGCCGCCGCACGGGCAGCGGAGCCCGCGGCGCAGUGGCGACUCUUCGGUUGACGGCGGCUGGCUACGCGGUGGCAACGAGGAGGCGGCGGCGGCCAGGAGCUGCUCCACCGGCCCCACGCGCACGCGCGCCGGCGGGAUCCGCGCGUCGUCGCCGGAGUCCUUCCGCGACGACCUCAGCUGCACAGGCGUUGGCGGGGAUGGCAGGGAGGGCAGCGCCCCGAUCGCCGUCGGCAAGGCGGCAUCGGCGCGGCGGUGGAGAUGGCCAUGGCCGCCGGCGAGCUCUUCACGCGCGGGACGGAGGAAGAAGAAGAGCCAGGGGCAUUUCCGUCUGGGAUGGCAUUUUGGCGAAGACACCUGG